ensembl:lncRNA
CCAUUUCAAAUUGAAUGAAACCUCUGGCAUUCUUCCUGAUGCCUCGAGCUCUGAGGUAUGACCAUGUUUCCUGAUGCCUGGAGCUCUGAGCUAUGACCAUGUUUCCUGAUGCCUGGAGCUCUGAGCUAUGACCAUGUUUCCUGAUGCCUGGAGCUCUGAGGUAUGACAAGGUUUCCUGAUGCUGGAGCUCUGAGGUAUGACCAUGUUCCCUGAUGCCUGGAGCUCUGAGGUAUGACCAUGUUCCCUGAUGCCUGGAGCUCUGAGCGAUGACAAGGUUUCCAGAUGCUGGAGCUCUGAGCUAUGACCAUGUUUCCUGAUGCCUGGAGCUCUGAGGUAUGACCAUGUUUCCUGAUGCCUGGAGCUCUGAGGUAUGACCAUGUUUCCUGAUGCUGGAGCUCUGAGGUAUGACCAUGUUUCCUGAUGCCUGGAGCUCUGAGGUAUGACCAUCUUUCCUGAUGCCUGGAGCUCUGAGCUAUGACAAGGUUUCCAGAUGCUGGAGCUCUGAGGUAUGACCAUGUUUCCUGAUGUCUGGAGCUCUGAGGUAUGACCAUGUUCCCUGAUGCCUGGAGCUCUGAGGUAUGACCAUGUUUCCUGAUGCCUGGAGCUCUGAGGUAUGACCAUGUUUCCUGAUGCCUGGAGCUCUGAGGUAUGACCAUGUUUCUUGAUGCCUGGAGUUCUGAGCUAUGACCAUGUUUCCUGAUGCCUGGAGCUCUGAGGUAUGACCAUGAUUCUUGAUGCCUGGAGCUCUGAGCUAUGACCAUGUUUCCUGAUGCCUGGAGCUCUGAGGUAUGACAAGGUUGCCUGAUGCCUGGAGCUCUGAGGUAUGACCAUGUUCCCUGAUGCCUGGAGCUCUGAGCUAUGACAAGGUUUCCAGAUGCUGGAGCUCUGAGGUAUGACCAUGUUUCCUGAUGCCUGGAGCUCUGAGGUAUGACCAUGUUCCCUGAUGCCUGGAGCUCUGAGGUAUGACCAUGUUUCCAGAUGCUGGAGCUCUGAGGUAUGACCAUGUUUCCUGAUGCUGGAGCUCUGAGGUAUGGCCAUGUUUCCUGAUGCCUGGAGCUCUGAGGUAUGACCAUGUUUCCUGAUGCUGGAGCUCUGAGGUAUGACCAUGUUUCCUGAUACCAGGUACUUUGAGGUAUGACAAGGUUUCUUGAUGCCUGGAGUUCUGAGGUAUGAUAAGGUUUCCUGAUGCUGGAGCUUUGAGGUAUGACAAGGUUUCCUGAUGCCUGGAGCUCUGAGCUAUGACCAUGUUUCCUGAUGCCUGGAGCUCUGACGUAUGACAAGGUUUCCUGAUGCUGGAGCUCUCAGGUAUGACUAUAUUUCUAUUCCAACAUCUGCUGUCCCAGGAAGUGUAGGUGAUGACACAACAUAAAGUCCAAAAUAAGAGUAGGUUGUGAGAAACAUUUGUGUUUCAAAUACUGCGCAUGGGUCUCAAGAGGGAGAAGGAAGGCGGGCCUCUUUGCAGAGAUCUUCGUGAACAUCGUUUAUUGUAAAUUUAUGCCUCACCCUGAGGGCAGUGAAAGGCAUCAGGCGGGUUCAGCAGCGCAAAGUAGAAGUGCCCUGGGCACUUCAUCCGAAAGGGAUUUACACUGUGAGUUACAUGGGUACAACAUCAUCAGAAAGGGGCGGAAGCAAGAAGCUGCCGGAACUGUCGCCUCCGGGAGAACCUUUGAGGGGAGUCAGGGAUCCGAAAGCCGACGGGUCUCAGCAGCUCCCUCAGAGCCACAUCCCUUGUCCUAGAUGGGCACUGGCAAAAACAAGUCUCCUUCCGUGCCUCGUGCCCCCCAGGCAGCUGUGCUGAAGACAAUCCCCUCCCCACUGAGUUGACCAGGAGAAGGAUGUCUUGCGUUAACUUCCACCUUCAGGCAUCUUGGGAGCACAUCUAAUUGGAGAAACCCAAAUAAUAUCCAGAAUGCAAUUGUAGGAGAGCCUGGAAAGGAGCUUUCUUAACUUCUGAGGGAGGUGCAGAAAGGCACGCUAGAAGGAGCUGGAAAUGGAUGUUGAGUACCAACCCAUCCUAGCAACACACCGGUGCGAGGCAGGCCUGGGCUUGGAAGCUAAAGAACCAAAUGUGACAGUGGACUCUGCCCUCGUUAGUAGCUGCAUGACUGCAGUAAAGCUCUUGGUUCCCUCACGUGUAAAACAAGGAGGGUGGACCACAGCCUUUCUAGAGACCUUGUCAGUUCUUGAAACAAAAAACAACUUCUGUAAAAAGCAUGAAGAGAGACCAUCUCCUGGUACCAUCCUCCUGCCCCUUGCCUCCCAGAUGUAGCAUCCUUUGGUCUUGGUGGUCAUCAUCCUUUCUCAGAAGCUUAUAGUGGCAGCUGGAUCUCAACUGUGCCCUCACCCCACCGCACCUUGGAGAGUUAGAAUACAUCACAAUUGGCUGCAGUUACAAGUAGGAAGAGGGCAGGAAAACACGUGGGCAGAGCUGAAGUUCUCUGAUCCCACAUCUGAAUUUCCAAAAGAAUCCCUAGACAGUCUCUGCUGUUGGCCAAUAUUCCCGGAGCCGCUCUGUGAACAUAACUGAGCGGGACACCCCGGCCCAUGGCUGCGGGCGCGGCACUGGGCUUGUAUGCAGCCUGAGGAAAUCCUGCUCCUUAAGAAAUUCUCAGAGCAGCGCUUCUCAGACUUCAGUGUGCACACGGAUGCCGGGGACCUGGUUAAAAUGCAGAUACUGCGUCCGCGGGGCUGGGGUGGGAUCUGAGAUGCCGCGUGUCUGACCAGCUCAGGGCUGCUGCCACUGCUCUGUGGACCACCCUUUGAGUAGCAAGGUUUAGAUCUCCAUGUGCCCCACUCCCACCCCAGCCUCCCCGCAAGGAGACAAUUAAAUGCAAAUGUCUGCAGUAGAAUGCCAUGAACUGAAGAUUCCGACCCUGAAGAUAAAGGGUUGAGGGAUUUGGGUUUUUUCCCCCAGUAAAUAUUAAGUGACAAGCUUUACAUAAGCACUCAGAGGCACAUAUUCCUAGGGGUCUGGUUUGUGGGGUUUUGUCCCUCCUGUACCAUCUCUCUUUCCUUGUUGACUCUUUCCUCUGGGUUUGGGGCUCAGUUUCCUCAUCUAUAAAUUGGGGUAGAAAUAUCUACCUAGAGCACUAGUUAGAGGGAUAAGUGAGAUAGUGCAUGCCAAGAGCACUUGGUUUAUUACUAGAUGCUUUGAACUGUUGUCUCUGCCCCCUAAUUAUCGCCGUCAUCGCUCAGUCCUGCGUCACCUCGGCCCUUCGUCAGGUGGAGAGAAAGAUGUCACUCACCGUUGCUUCCCUUGUUUCCAAAGCAGGAAAACCUGCCGCUGCCUCCUGAGGGAUCGGGGACAGCAGACGGGGUGAGACAGAGAGGGUUAAAGCUUGCCAAGUUUUAUACUAAAGUGGUACCCUGCAAUGUAUAGAACUGCGUGGCAUAGUAAGCUAUGGUAACAAGCACAGAGAAAAACGUAAGUGACAAAAUAGAAGAAAUUGAGCAAAUAUUUAAAAUGGUAGACACUAAUUAAGAAGGAGAUGUUCAUGGCAGUUUUGUACAUAAUGACAAAAAAACUGGAAACAAUCUAAACGCGCAGCGUUCUCCAUACAGGUAUGUCAAGCAUGGCACACCUAUACACAGGAUAUUGUGUAGACUCUAAUGCUUUGUUUAGGUUUUUUUUUUUUUUUUUGGCCAGCGAAGAUUUGCCCUCAGCUAACAUCUGUUGCCAAUCUUCCUCCUUUUUCUUCCAUUUUUCCUUCGCAAAGCCCCAGUACACAGUUGUAUAUUCUGGUUGUAAGUCCUUCUAGUUCUUCCAUGUGAGCCACCUCCACAGCAUGGCCACUGACAGACAGGCGGUGUGGUUCCACAACCGAGAACUGAACCCCGGCUCCUGAAGCGGAGUGUGCCAAACUUUAAUGGCUAAGCCAUCAGGGCUGGCUCUGUUUAGAUUUUUAAUGGCAUGAAAAAUGCUUAUGAUGUGAUGUUUAGAGUACAAGGAAAAUCAGGCUACAAAUUGUUAAAUACCAAAUUAAAACAUAUGGAGGAAAAAAGGAAGGAAGGACACAUGCCACAGUGAAAAUGGUGGCCGCAUCUGAGGGACUGUUUGUUUUCCUUUUCUUCACUUCUCUGUACUUCCCAGGUCCUCAGCAAGGACCAUAUAUCUGCUCAGGCUGGAGCCAGGCUGCUGCUGUGCUGGAGGUCCACCCUUUGCCGCCUACCAACCGGGCUGGUCAUUGCACACAGCUCGCUGUGCCUCUAUUCCCCCAUAGGUGAAACGGGGCUGGUACUAACAUCUAACCCAUGGAGUUCUGUUAGGAUGAAGUGACGGAACAUUUACUGGGCACUUAGGCCUUGCACAAAAUCAGUGCUUUGCAAGUAUUAGCUGUUGUUAUUUUCAUUCUCAUAUCAUCAAAAGAAAAUCAAGCAAAAACUGAGAAAAAGAUCAAAGAUUAGAGGAAAGCAUUUAUAAAUGUUAGGAUGAGAUUUUUUUUAAAUAAACUUUUCAUUUUGAACUGAUUUCGGAUUUAGGGAAAGUUGCAGAGUUCAGAGGGACCCCAUAUAUCCCUCACCGAGUUUCCCCUGUGGCUAACGCAUUACCCUACCGUAGGACGUGCACAAAGCUAUGAGGCUGAUGCUGAUGCAGCGCUAUUAACUAAACCCUAGAUUUCAUUUGAAACUCACCUAUUCUUCCAUUUAUGUACUUUUUCUGUUCCAGGAGGGUGAUAUUUUUGAAUGUUGACUAAUGUGGCUGGGUUUUCUUUUUUACUUUUUAGUUGGGAAACAUACGUAGAAGUUUAUAAAACAAAAUGUACUGUUUAAAAGAAAUCAGAAACAGAGCACCUCCAGUACCUUAGAAUCUCGCCUUGUGUCCUUUUUCCAUCACAACACCCUUCCAACUUUGCCCCCAAGCGAUAAUUAUCACAAUGACUUUUACAGCAAUCAUAUUCUUGCUUUUCUUUAUAGUGUUA